CUUUUCCCAUGCCUGAUGUUGACUGGGGAGGUAUAUGUGCACUCAUGCAGAAGAAGUAGGAGUUUCGACAUCGAAUUUGGCAUUUGGAGAAGCUGAUCCGAAGUCCGGUGUUGGCAGUGUGUGAUCGACAACCCUUGUUUUGCCUCGCUGCGCUUUAUUACCUUGUAGACAUUGUGGAACUUGGACAUGUAGGUACACUUUUCCCAUGCCUGAUGUUGACUGGGGAGGUAUAUGUGCACUCAUGCAGAAGAAGUAGGAGUUUCGACAUCGAAUUUGGCAUUUGGAGAAGCUGAUCCGAAGUCCGGUGUUGGCAGUGUGUGAUCGACAACCCUUGUUUUGCCUCGCUGCGCUUUAUUACCUUGUAGACAUUGUGGAACUUGGACAUGUAGGUACAGUUCUACUACACCAAAUCAGUACCAGUUUGGAGAGUGCGGUUUUCGUAGGGAGCCUUCAGUG